GACAGAGGGUGCAAACGUUGUUCGGAGUUACUGGGCGUAAAGAGUGCGUAGGCGGUUUUCUAAGUUUGGUGUGAAAUCUCCCGGCUUAACUGGGAGGGUGCGCCGAAGACUGGAAGGCUUGAGUAUGGGAGAGGUAAGCGGAAUUCCUGGUGUAGCGGUGAAAUGCGUAGAUAUCAGGAGGAACACCGAUGGCGAAGGCAGGUCUCUGGGCAUUAACUGACGCUGAGGAGCGAAAGCAUGGGGAGCGAACAGG
rnacentral:rRNA from 1 species